GACUCCUGGUUAAAGACAAUGCAGAUGAAAGUGUCCAUCCCCACCACCCCUGUCUCUGGAGAGCAGCAUGCUGAAGGGGAAUGAAAGGGCCAUGAGAAUGCUAAGCAUAAUUUCAUUAUUAUGACCUUUAAGGAGUCAGUGGGAGGAUGGAGGAGGAACACAAGGAAGACACUAAGACAAGACCACAGAGCGCUUAAGAGAGGAGGGCAAACCCAAAGGGACUUGAAGACAAACAGAUGGGACAGGAGGAAGAGAGAUGGAAACUGGAGACUGAGCAAGACUGGCAAAGACUGGCAGAGCCACUUUCUUCCAGGGAGUGGCAGGAGCAGACCUGGGGCUCCUCAUCCAUGAAAAAACAGCCUUCUGCACAUGAUUCUCCCAUUCUCCUGAAAUCUCUGCUUUUGCUCCUCCAGGCAACCAUUAAUCUAAUAUUAAGCCCCUUAACCUCUCUAAUUGUUCCCUUUCAGUGUCAGCUGGUUUCCUAUUAACCUUUCAAUCUCUCAGUAAUGCAGUUACUUCUGACUCCAGCCAGCCCUGGCUCUAAAGCUUUACCUCCGGCAGUGAAUUUUCCAAGCUUUCACUUUUUUUUUUUCUUUCUUUUCUGUAAUGAUUAUUACUGCUGUUAAGGAGCCAGUUUGAACCAGCCUCUAAGUGCACAGGGCUGAACCAGUCAGAGUCUAUAAAUAGCCCUUCACUAACCUUGCGCCUUAUUUCAUUAGGUUGAUUGGCUUCCUUCUCUCCACUUCGUUGCAUCUCUAUCUCUCCCUGCCCUCUCCAUUAUUGAUGCUCCUUCUUUUGUUGCUAACUGAGGCACCUGUUUGUUGAUUGCAGGGUUGAUUGGCCUUGGGUUUUUCUCUCCUGAACAAAACAGUGUUGUUGCUGGAGGAACAUCUCUGGAGUUCUGCAACAGGGUGAAAGCAGAGGAGAGACAGCUCUACUCUGAAGCACCAGCAGAAGUCAAAGGUGAAUGACAAGAGCAAGAGCAGCCAGGACCCCAACUCACCAGCUGGUCAGCUACUGAUGCAGAUAGGAGAAGCCCUGCAGGUGAACAUCCGGUGUGCUGCCAGGACAGGGAACAUCUCCAUACCUGCCUGAGGGCUUUCCUGGCCCAGCCCAUCUGCUGCAGCAGCCUCUGUUCCCAAGGUCGUGAAGCACCACCUGGAUGGAAGAGGAGGAUCUUCAAAACCCCCAUUUGCCACACCUCCAGCCCUUCCCCCUCUCUGCAAAGCAUAUCCUUGAGUGAAUAAUCACCCUGCUUUCUCAGCAGGUGAAAAGAUUGUCCUUUUUAGCAUCCCAGGAGGGAUACAGCAACUGCCCAGGCAUGGAAGACUUUGAACAUCCUCAAGGUUUUGAACUUGUAUUGUCCU